CAAACGGUCCUUUUAAGGGCCAUUCACAAAGUAACGGAAGUCUCUU
rfam:Octopus bimaculoides Scaffold23763_contig_292, whole genome shotgun sequence.